rnacentral:piRNA from 1 species
UGAACUUAACCUCAACGUUAGGGUGCUUCUGU